rnacentral:lncRNA from 1 species
GCUGAGGACUGGCCUGGGGUUGCUUGUUGGCGACGUGCCUUCUGCCAUCCUUUCUUCUUGGCCUGAUGGCAGAGUCAGGACUGCCUGCCUGGGGACAUAAUUAGUAAAUGUGUCAUCUGCUGGCAGAUUACGAUGUAGUGCUAAACCUUUCUCUAGGUACGAUUCUGUCCCAGCGAUUCCUCCGCCUGGGCCAGGCGUCAGCCCUAAUGAAAGGCUGCAGGACCUGUCCACACCGUGUCUGUCUGUGACCUAAUGGGUGUGACGGGAGGCUGAUGAAGUAAGUAAGUCUCUCCCGGGUCCGCCAGAUUGGGUCGGCAAGUGAAUAGCACGUGGGCACGCCAGGAGGAAGCUGGGCUGGCAGCUGUGAGGUGGAUCCCAGCAGCCAGCCCAUGAAUAGCCCCAUGCUCACCCCUCCCCUGGGCUCCUCCCCACUCCCUGACCCCAUCCAGAGCAGCCCGGCCCCUCCUCUGCAGGGCUGCAACCUCUGCCCAGGGAUCCCUGCAGCUCCCACCUUCCUACUCGCAUUUCCUGAGCAGCAGCAAGGGACACCCUUAAGAAAAAAGAAAAUCAAUGUCUGUGCUGCCCUCGUCUGUGUCUCAGCACCUGCAGCAGCGUCUGGCCCAGGGCAGGCCUUCCAAUGCAUUUGUGGAGUAAGGGAAGGAAGCUGGGAAGCUCUGUCACUGGGCAUCGGAGCUGAAAGGAGGACAAGACCCUGAGGCUUGGAGGCUCCAGUGGAACUGGGAGGACUUGGGAGGCGGUGGGGCCUCCUGCUCUCUGCAGGUAUUUCCAGGCUCCCGGCCGCAGCUGUCUUGAGACUAUGGCCCCGAGGAGGCGGGAGAUGGAGGGUGAGAUUCUGG